rnacentral:misc_RNA from 1 species
UGGCGAGGGCUUUGAGCGCGG